rnacentral:rRNA from 1 species
GAUGAACGCUGGCGGCGUGCCUAAUACAUGCAAGUCGAGCGAACAGACGAGGAGCUUGCUCCUCUGACGUUAGCGGCGGACGGGUGAGUAACACGUGGAUAACCUACCUAUAAGACUGGGAUAACUUCGGGAAACCGGAGCUAAUACCGGAUAAUAUAUUGAACCGCAUGGUUCAAUAGUGAAAGACGGUUUUGCUGUCACUUAUAGAUGGAUCCGCGCCGCAUUAGCUAGUUGGUAAGGUAACGGCUUACCAAGGCGACGAGGCGUAGCCGACCUGAGAGGGUGAUCGGCCACACUGGAACUGAGACACGGUCCAGACUCCUACGGGAGGCAGCAGUAGGGAAUCUUCCGCAAUGGGCGAAAGCCUGACGGAGCAACCCCGCGUGAGUGAUGAAGGUCUUCGGAUCGUAAAACUCUGUUAUUAGGGAAGAACAAAUGUGUAAGUAACUAUGCACGUCUUGACGGUACCUAAUCAGAAAGCCACGGCUAACUACGUG